GACGAACGCUGGCGGCGUGCCUAAUACAUGCAAGUAGAACGCUGAAGGAGGAGCUUGCUUCUCUGGAUGAGUUGCGAACGGGUGAGUAACGCGUAGGUAACCUGCCUGGUAGCGGGGGAUAACUAUUGGAAACGAUAGCUAAUACCGCAUAAGAGUAGAUGUUGCAUGACAUUUGCUUAAAAGGUGCAAUUGCAUCACUACCAGAUGGACCUGCGUUGUAUUAGCUAGUUGGUGGGGUAACGGCUUACCAAGGCGACGAUACAUAGCCGACCUGAGAGGGUGAUCGGCCACACUGGGACUGAGACACGGCCCAGACUCCUACGGGAGGCAGCAGUAGGGAAUCUUCGGCAAUGGACGGAAGUCUGACCGAGCAACGCCGCGUGAGUGAAGAAGGUUUUCGGAACGUAAAGCUCUGUUGUAAGAGAAGAACGAGUGUGAGAGUGGAAAGUUCACACUGUGACGGUAUCUUACCAGAAAGGGACGGCUAACUACGUG
rnacentral:rRNA from 1 species